GAUGAACGCUGGCGGCGUGCCUAAUACAUGCAAGUCGAGCGGACGGACGAGAAGCUUGCUUCUCUGAUGUUAGCGGCGGACGGGUGAGUCACACGUGGAUACCCUCCCUAUCAGACUGGGAUAACUUCGGGAAACCGGAGCUAAUACCGGAUAAUCUUUUGAACCGCAUGGUUCAAUAGUGAAAGACGGUCUUGCUGUCACUUAUAGAUGGAUACGCGCUGCAUUAGCUAGUUGGUAAGGUAACGGCUUACCAAGGCAAGUAUGCAUAGCCGACCUGAGAGGGGGAUCGCCCACACUGGAACUGAGACACGGUCCAGACGCCUACGGGAGGCAGCAGUAGGGAAUCGUCCGCAGUGGGCGAAAGCCUUACGGAGCAACGCCGCGUGAGUGAUGAAGGUCUUCGGAUCGUAAAACUCUGUUAUUAGGGAAGAACAGAUUUGUAAGUAGCUGUGCACAGCGUGACGGUACCUAGUCAGAAAGCCCCGGCUAACUACGUG
rnacentral:rRNA from 1 species